rnacentral:rRNA from 1 species
GACUCCUACGGGAGGCAGCCAGUGAGGAAUAUUGGACCAAUGGAUGGAAAUCUGAUCCAGCCAUGCCGCGUGCCAGGAAGACGGCCCUAUGGGUUGUAAACUGCUUUUGUAUGGGAGCCAGUAAGAUACUACGUGUAGAUUGAUGAGAGUACCCUACGAUAAGCACCGGU